rnacentral:rRNA from 1 species
GAUUAACGCUGGCGGCGUGCAUAACACAUGCAAGUCGAACGAUGAAACUCAUUAGAUUUCUUCGGAAUGAAAAUGAAUGUUUUAGUGGCGAACGGGUGAGUAACGCGUGAGUAACCUGCCUUACACAAGGGGAUAGCCUCUGGAAACGGAGAAUAAUACCCUAUGAAACCAGACAAUCGCAUGAUAAUCUGGUCAAAAUGUUUAGUGGUGUAAGAUGGACUUGCGUCUGAUUAGCUAGUUGGUGAGAUAAAAGCUCACCAAGGCAACGAUCAGUAGCCGGCUUGAGAGAGUGUACGGCCACAUUGGGACUGAGACACGGCCCAGACUCCUACGGAAGGCGGCAGUGGGGAAUUUGGCACAAUGGGGGAAACCCGGAUGCAGCGACGCCGCGUGAUUUAGAAGGCCUUCGGGUUGUAAAAAUCUUUUGUAUAGGAAGAAAAUGACAGUACUAUACGAAUAAGGUCCGGCUAAUUACGUG